ACGGGCACAUCACGUUGAAACACUGAUUCCCGUACAACCACCGAAGUUAAGCAACGUUGAGCCUAGUCAGUACCUAAAUAGGUAACCGCUUGGGGACACCAGGUGCUGUAAU